rnacentral:rRNA from 1 species
AGUGAACGCUGGCGGUAGGCCUAACACAUGCAAGUCGAACGGCAGCACAGUAAGAGCUUGCUCUUACGGGUGGCGAGUGGCGGACGGGUGAGGAAUACCGGAAUCUACUUUUUCGUGGGGGAUAACGUAGGGAAACUUACGCUAAUACCGCAUACGACCUACGGGUGAAAGCAGGGGAUCUUCGGACCUUGCGCGAUUGAAUGAGCCGAUGUCGGAUUAGCUAGUUGGCGGGGUAAAGGCCCACCAAGGCGACGAUCCGUAGCUGGUCUGAGAGGAUGAUCAGCCACACUGGAACUGAGACACGGUCCAGACUCCUACGGGAGGCAGCAGUGGGGAAUAUUGGACAAUGGGCGCAAGCCUGAUCCAGCCAUACCGCGUGGGUGAAGAAGGCCUUCGGGUUGUAAAGCCCUUUUGUUGGGAAAGAAAAGCAGCAGGUUAAUACCCCGCUGUUCUGACGGUACCCAAAGAAUAAGCACCGGCUAACUUCGU